AGAGGAGGAGGCAGGUAGCCUAGUGGUUAGAGGAGGAGGCAGGUAGCCUAGUGGUUAGAGGAGGAGGCAGGUAGCCUAGUGGUUAGAGGAGGAGGCGGGUAGCCUAGUGGUUAGAGGAGGCAGGUAGCCUAGUGGUUAGAGGAGGAGGCGGGUAGCCUAGUGGUUAGAGGAGGAGGCAGGUAGCCUAGUGGUUAGAGGAGGCGGGUAGCCUAGUGGUUAGAGGAGGAGGCAGGUAGCCUGGUGGUUAGAGGAGGCAGGUAGCCUAGUGGAUAGAGGAGGAGGCAGGUAGCCUAGUGGUUAGAGGAGGAGGCAGGUAACCUAGUGGUUAGAGGAGGAGGCAGGUAGCCUAGUGGUUAGAGGAGGAGGCAGGCAGCCUAGUGGUUAGAGGAGGAGGCAGGUAGCCUAGUGGUUAGAGGAGGCAGGUAGCCUAGUGGUUAGAGGAGGCAGGUAGCCUAGUGGUUAGAGGAGGCAGGUAGCCUAGUGGUUAGAGGAGGCAGCUAGCCUAGUGGUUAGAGGAGGCAGCUAGCCUAGUGGUUAGAGGAGGAGGCAGCUAGCCUAGUGGUUAGAGGAGGCGGGUAGCCUAGUGGUUAGAGGAGGCAGGUAGCCUAGUGGUUAGAGGAGGCAGGUAGCCUAGUGGUUAGAGGAGGCAGGUAGCCUAGUGGUUAGAGGAGGAGGCAGGUAGCCUGGUGGUUAGAGGAGGCAGGUAGCCUAGUGGUUAGAGGAGGCAGGUAGCCUAGUGGUUAGAGAGUUGGGCCAGUAACUGAAGGUGAAAAUCUGUCAUUCUGCCCCUGAUUCUUAACUGACUUGCCUAGUUAAAUGAAGGUUAAAUAAAGGUUAAAUUAAUAAAACAUGUAAAAGUCUGUGUGCAUGUUGAAGGUUAAAUAAAGGUUACAUGAAGGUUACAUUAAUAAAACAUGUAAAAAUCUGACUGUGUGUGUGUUGAAGGUUAAAUGAAGGUUAAAUAAAGGUUAAAUGAAGGUUACAUUAAUAAAACAUGUAAAAAUCUGACUGUUUUUGUGUUGAAGGUUAAAUGAAGGUUAAAUAAAGGUUAAAUGAAGGUUACAUUAAUAAAAGAUGUAAAAGUCUGACUGUGUGUGUGUCUUGUCUCUAGCUGUGGAGCGUUUAGGGUUGGGUUGGCUGGUGGUCGUUGACUCUUCAUCACUCUCACUGGUGCUCACGAUACGCUGGGCCUUUCUACCAGUACGCCUCAACAAUGACUUCCUGAAACACACACACACACACACACACACACACACACACACACACACACACACACACACACACACACACACACACACACACACACACACACACACACAC
rnacentral:lncRNA from 1 species